rfam:Triticum urartu cultivar G1812 contig213676, whole genome shotgun sequence.
UUUCUACUCCCUCUGUCCGAAAUACUUGUCAUCAAAAUGGAUAAAAAGAGAUGUAUCUAAAACUAAAAUAUGUCUAGAUAGAUUUCCUUUUAUCCAUUUUGAUGACAAGUAUUUCCGGACGGAGGGAGUAUUUG